rnacentral:rRNA from 3 species
UGCAGUCGAACGAUGAACCACUUCGGUGGGGAUUAGUGGCGAACGGGUGAGUAACACGUGGGCAAUCUGCCCUGCACUCUGGGACAAGCCCUGGAAACGGGGUCUAAUACCGGAUACUGAUUGUCUUGGGCAUCCUUGAUGAUCGAAAGCUCCGGCGGUGCAGGAUGAGCCCGCGGCCUAUCAGCUUGUUGGUGAGGUAACGGCUCACCAAGGCGACGACGGGUAGCCGGCCUGAGAGGGCGACCGGCCACACUGGGACUGAGACACGGCCCAGACUCCUACGGGAGGCAGCAGUGGGGAAUAUUGCACAAUGGGCGCAAGCCUGAUGCAGCGACGCCGCGUGAGGGAUGACGGCCUUCGGGUUGUAAACCUCUUUCAGCAGGGAAGAAGCGAAAGUGACGGUACCUGCAGAAGAAGCGCCGGCUAACUACGUGCCAGCAGCCGCGGUAAUACGUAGGGCGCAAGCGUUGUCCGGAAUUAUUGGGCGUAAAGAGCUCGUAGGCGGCUUGUCGCGUCGGUUGUGAAAGCCCGGGGCUUAACCCCGGGUCUGCAGUCGAUACGGGCAGGCUAGAGUUCGGUAGGGGAGAUCGGAAUUCCUGGUGUAGCGGUGAAAUGCGCAGAUAUCAGG